rnacentral:ribozyme from 14 species
AAAUAAAUGACACUACUUGUGAGUUUCUCGCCUUUGCCAUUUUUCCUUAUCUAUUUGCUUGCUUUUUGGCGAGAGUCGUCAAUAUGUGUGUUACCAAGAAAGAGGGGGAGGAGUG